UACUGCGUGAGUUAAUCCUUGCAGGCAGUUAUUGCCAACAGCUGCGAGAAUGGGGAUGCCGCGAGCUGUGCUGCUGGCAGAGUCUGUGCUGCUGCUGGUGGCGCUGCUGCCGGUACUCUCUCAGGCCAAUCAGUCUACGAUUUUACCGGAGAUUCCAGACCUGUGCCACGUCAAGGAGAAAGGAGUCUAUGUGCCGCUUGGCAAGACUAACUUGCCAGGGUGCACGAAGGCCAUCUGCUCCAAGACUCCUGACUCCAAAUUAGAGCUUCAAUAUUCCAGCUGUGCUCACCUCAAACCACCGACGCCCGACUGCCGUCUAUACAGAGACCUUUCCAAGCCCUUCCCUCGCUGCUGCGGGUACUUGCUCUGCACUAAAAAGAAUGAUCGCUGAACUGAAAAACCUGCAACAUCCCGAUAAGCCUGACGUAACCUGACCUGAUCUGAACCCUACAAUGACUCAUCUGCUUUUUAUGAUUGUUUUCAGGUGAAUUGUCUGAGAUGAGAAUCAUUCAUACAGAAAAUGUUUUAUACUAAUAUGACAUGACACUAAAA